rnacentral:tRNA from 1 species
UUAACCAAAACCAAAACAGAGGUAUAUUAUUGUUAAUAAUAGAAAUGAAAAUUUUUUUUUUCUGGUUAAG